rnacentral:RNase_P_RNA from 1 species
UGAGUUGGCUGGGUGGCCGCGCGUUGAGUCGCUUUUAGGAGUGACUUGAUCCGAGGAACGUCCGGACUCCGAAGGGCAAGAUGCUGGGUAACACCCAGUCGGGGGAACUCGCAGGAAAGUGCCACAGAAAAUAAACCGCCGAUGGCAGUCCUCCCGCUCGCGAGCGGGCUGAACAGGCAAGGUUGAAAAGGUGCGGUAAGAGCGCACCAGCAUUCGGGGUGACUCGAGUGGCUAGGUAAACCCCAUCAGGAGCAAGGUCAGACAAGGGGAGGGCGGCCCGUCCGUGGACACCCCUGGGUAGGCCGCUAGAGCCGGCGGGUAACUGUCGGUCGAGAGGGAUGGUCACCGUUAGCACUUCGGUGUUGACACAGAAUCCGGCGUAUAGGCCGACUCACCAC